CCAUAUUAUCCAUGCAAUCUCAUUUCUUUUUGUUUAAUAUUUCUAUAUUUUACCGACCGUCUCUAGCGCAAGUGGUAAAGGACUUGGUGGUUGGUAUUCAAGGUACCAAGUUUGAAUCCUAAUUAAUUCAUAUUUUUAGCUAAAUUUAUUUCUAAAUAAUUAAAUGAAUGAAGCCGGUGGCAUACUAUCUUUCUCUCUCAACAAAAAAAUAUUUCUAUAUUUUGAAAU
rnacentral:lncRNA from 1 species